CACAACAUGCUAACCGGCAACAAAGGAUUCCAUUCACUACGCUAAGCUAAGCUAGCGGCGGUGCUGCCGGACUAAGACAAUGCAUGCACUGAGACAAAAAUAUGUUUGCCCACCUAUCUACAUCUAGGGGAGACGGUGAAUAACCCUAUUUCAAAAAACGGUGCCAUGUUCCUUUAAAUGGCUGAGAAGUAUGUGU